AAGUUGUAUUAGCAUACCAACCAAAUCAAUUAUUCAUUGAAAAUAAAUAGAAAGUAGAUAAAUAGGACAUAAACCAUCUGUAUACUUCACCUUGAAUUGCAAUUGGUAUUAUUUAUAAGAACUCAAAAACUCCUCCACAUUCUUGUAUAUGCCUUUUUAUCUAUAGUGCUCCUUGAUCUUAGUCUAGAUAGCUCAAACUUUCCUAUACUCAAUCUAUAAUAUAUCAUAAAACUUACCUAAUAUCUUGUGUUUGAUAUCCAAAUCAUUCACCACUCUCAAUGGUAUACCAUCUCUUCUCUAUGGCUUCUUCUAUAAGAAUCCAUCAUAUAAAAGAUAGUUGUAAGAUUGGUCCCUAAUAUCCUUAAAGGUCUUAUCCAACCAACCCUCUUGCCUCUCCAUUGUGGUCAAAUACAAGCCAAUGUCUCUCAACCUCUCUUUAUAUAAAUAAAU
rnacentral:lncRNA from 1 species